GAUAAUUAGAAUAGCUGUGAUACUUUAAUUGAGUUGCUAAUACCAGUGCAGGGAUGUUGCAUAAAAGCCUGGUGGCUGGCAGCUUCUCCUUUAGCCCUGCUGAUUGGUAGGGCUGUGGAGCACGUGUGUGUGCUGGGUGUCUGCCCCCUUCCUUUCAGCUUUCCCUCCCAAAUACAGCCCCUUCUUGGCUCCAUUGUAAUGCUGUGCAGUUGUGUGUAUGUUCUCUGAGAGCAACUCCAUGCGUUCCUUCUUUUCCUCUCCCUUAUCUUGAGCUCUCAGCCUGCAUGGGCACGGGUGCAAGGUCUGUGCCAGUCCCCUCAGGCAACUAAUCUUAGUAGUGAAUGUAGAUACAAACCUACAUAUGUGAUUUCAGCCUCUGCCUGGUGCUUGUGGCAAGCCUGAUGCAAUGUGUUCUCGGAAAAGUGUGAGGAGGAAGUAAUGGGCUUCCUUGCUCUUCUGCAGUAAGAAUAGCUCAUUCAUUAUUUAUCUUCACCGGAGUUUGGUUCCUGUAUUUUUGUUGAACUUUGCCUUGCUGCAGUGGCAAUCCUUUUUACUUACUGAAUCCUUGUAGCAGCUUCUUGAAGCUUAUCAAAAUGAGGGGACAUCAGGCUUUUAACACGUUUUGGUUACUGGAACUGUUUUCAAGGAGAACGUCACACCAGGAGCCUCCAGAGUGCUCUGUGUUUGUUACCAAGCUUUUGCAACUGUACUGAUUUGAAGGAUGACGUGGUGUUUGCUCGUGGUCCCAAUUAGAGGCUCUUUAGAGCAAAAUCCAGAGCAAUUUCUGGAUGUCGUUGACCAUGAUAGCUGAUUUUCUAAUCAUGGCUAAGCUGCUCUUCGUUCUGAAGUGAGCAUUGUUGCACCCUGACUGAAGCUGUGUUGCUCUGCAAAGGUGCUACCAGAGGGCAGCCACAGCGAGGCUGGGACAGAGGGCCGAUCAAAUGCUGCUCCUGCACUUCUGUCUCUGUCCCUAAACAGUGCCCCUCUCAAUGUCUUACAGCUACGGAUUUGGUAUCAGCUCAGAUGACUGGAAAUAGCUGCUGUUUUUUCCCAAUGUCCAGAUGUGCUGUUUUUUUUUUUAAACAUCGAAUUGUGCUUUAAAAACGUGGUCAUAUGACAGAGAUUACAGUUGUUAAGUAUUCACGUAUCAAGGAUUUCUAUUUUUGAAGAGGCAAACAACUCCAUUAUAGUUUGCAAUCUAUAUAUAAGAACUUACAGUGAAAAGCACGUACCAGAAAUAACCAAGAUGGGCUGAACCUUUAAGUUCCAAACUAUUUUCCUGAGCAAUGAGAAUAUUUUAUGAAACCUAAAGGAAUCUGCUUCCUGGAAAACCUCCCUCUGAAACAGCCCUGAGCUGCCCUGACGGCCGGGGAAGCAGAACAAGAGUUUGGAUGCUUUGGAGCCCUCCUGUUAGAGGAAAUAGAUUUUUGAUGGGGGAUUGAAAUAGAUUUUUAAUGGGGGAAAAGGCUGCCACAAACAUAAGGCUGAAAGGGGGUAAAAUGGCACGUGUGUCCGUGCACGGAAUUAUGGACAGUUAUUGAAGGGAAGAUGUACCGCAGUUUGGAGCUUUUAGAGUAUUUAAGGCUUAUGUCAUAAGGAUGCCUGAAGCACUACAGUAAUUGAAGUAUUCAAAUCUGCUGAAUGAAUACCAG
ensembl:lncRNA